AAUCAACGCUGGCGGCGUGCCUAACACAUGCAAGUCGAACGAGAAAGUGGGGGCAACCCCAUGAGUAAAGUGGCAGACGGGUGAGUAACACGUGAACAACCUACCCUCGAGUGUGGAAUAACACCGCGAAAGCGGUGCUAAUACCGCAUAAUAUCUCCGGGUCGCAUGAUCUGGAGAUCAAAAGCGCAAGUUGCUUGAGGAGGGGUUCGCGCCUGAUUAGCUAGUUGGUGAGGUAACGGCCCACCAAGGCUGCGAUCAGUAGCCGGCCUGAGAGGGCGAACGGCCACACUGGAACUGAGACACGGUCCAGACUCCUACGGGAGGCAG
rnacentral:rRNA from 1 species